GCCGCCGCCGGCCACCGCUGCGUGCGAAGAGCAGUGCAGGCAGCCGGCGCACACGUGUGCGCUGCCGGUCGCCGCGUUGGCCGCUACUCUCCGCUCUCUCGGGGACGGGGCCGCGGUUGCUCCCCAGCGCGGGCCAGGGCGUGCGCUCGCCCCUGCGGACGCAGCCUGGAGGAGUGUGUGUGGGGGUGUCUGCGCGGGGGUCUGGAUGUGUCCAGCAGCGGCACGGCAGCCUGAUGCCUCCUCUCGUCUGGGACGCGGGUUCCUUGGCAGCUCUUCUGGGAUGCGGGGCCCUUGGGUAGUCCACCGAAGGGGGACAUCUCGAAGAGAAGCAGCGAGACCUGGGGAUCCGGUUGUUCGUUUUGGUCGUCGCCUGUGAGGCCAGCAUCCGAGCGUAAGAGGAAUCUAGGCGCUGUCUCGAAAAGAGAUGGCACCAAGGACAGCAAAUGCUGACAAAGAGAAGAGACGGACAAGCAUUUUCUUGUGAUUAAUACCGAAGGGACGGGAUGAGACAAGGAAGCCAAAAUGCAGUGGACCCUCGAUAUCACCAGGAACUGCUACAGGAGGCGGCGUUCUGGCACGGGUAACUAAGGGUGAUGGAUUUUACUCUGCCUCCAUCAACAGGCGCUGGCUGGCAAAGUCGUCGUGUCCCAGCGGAGACUCUUAGGCAGGACGGGAGGAGUUCGGAUCCGCAGCCUGCCAGAAGAGCGUCGCCUGGGAGGGGUCACUAGCCUUGAGCUACAGGCACUGGUGUUCGGAACCUCGGGCAAUGACUAUAUGCUGCCGCGAAGAGCUACCGGUUACCACUGCCGUCAGACGGGAUUUUUGCUGUCGCAAGUUACAGUUCCUUUUAGGAGCCAGCUACAAAAGUAACUUUGCUAUAGCAGAGAAAUGGGGUUACGUGUGUACGAGCAACAGCGCCAGAGUACACAGCAAAACCACAACCUACCAUAACCCAUCAGCUCCGUCUCUCUGGAGUUUGGAGUUUUUGGAGGCCUCAGUUUUUAUCCUGCCUUGGCUGGACAGUGCUUUCUGAGAGUGUCCGUCAGAGGCAGUUUCCCUGCAGAGGACCAUCUAGCGAAGGCUGGAGGUGGCCGGGUGCCUGAGCGAGCCUGCCUGUGUGUGAGAGCCGCUCUGACAUCUUUGCGAUGAAGCAGUGCCAGAGAGGGUGACUGAAGCAGCACGGGAGGGUCGGUCACGACUGUGGGAACAAUCACGGGCCUUGGACUAGGGAGCAGCUCUAGUAGGAGGGCCGUGCAGUUGCCCGGCCUCUCGGUAACCGCUCUGGCCUCUUUGCAGGUGCUGAAGCCCAGUCGGGCAGUCGAAGGAGCCUCGUCGCAGCUGGGAGCUCUGCGGAGAUGCGCGGCCGGCUGUGGAGGAUGAGCUCUGACUUGCGGCGUGGACACGGCUAAGUCCUGGGCUGCAUCGUACGCGAGUGGGGCUGGGAGGUGCGAGGCGUUCGUCCCCUAGCCGUGGUCACUGGCGCCGCUGGCUGUGGCCGUUUGCCCAUGGAGCUGAGAGGACCAAACAUACUAAUUGCCUGACCCGGAGAUGAAUUAGUGCUUGCAGGCUUUCAGGUAGGUUCAGUGCAAGUGCAGCUUAGUGCAGUCCCGUGGAGUGACGCUUGCACAUGCUCACAUUUGAAUGGUGGCUAAAACCAAGCCUCUAAACAGCAACUGUAAUGCAAUUCUGGUGCUUGUCUUCCUGUUCUGCUGUACUUCUAAAGGAAGGGAAAACUUCCUAAGCUGCGGGCAAAACUCCUUGGCUUCUCUUGACUGUUUCCAUGCUCUGGAAACAGCUUUGGGUGCUUUGGUGCUUGUUGCUUAAAGCUGAGGGUUUGGAAUUUUUCACUUAAGGUUGAUUGUUUAGCUUGCUGCUGAGGGUCUCUCACCCAGGAGUUACGGGUUAUUCCUUUCUUUAGUGGGGCUCACUCUUUAUCAGUCAGGGUUUACAGUUUGCUCAUGUAGCAAUCGGGGCGCAGAAUUUAAAAUCCAACCCCAUCCCUUGUCCCGAUCCAAUAUCGGGGGGGUUUCGUUACGAUCCCAAGGACGAGAUUAAGACGCUAAAACCGGUCAAAUAUCGUACAACCGUUUAACAUUAUUUUCCACAAAGUGGGGAGAAAAGGUGGGGAAAGGCGAAGGAGAGGCGAAGGG